GCCGAAGUGGUGGAAAUGGUAGACACGCCAGACUUAGGAUCUGGUUCUGUGAGGAGUGGGAGUUCAAAUCUCCCCUUCGGCA
rnacentral:tRNA from 1 species